GGCACCGUUCUGGACAGCAGAACGACAUACACAUACUUCCUUGGAGCUGCGUUUCAGGCUUUUAAAAGUGUAGUAAGUGCGAGAGAGCCACCACAGCUCCGGUGGUCAUUGGCUCCAAGCGAGGCAAGACAGGCAUGUGACAUGUGUCACCAGUGGUGUCCUGCCCCUGUGCCCGUUCUUUUUAGCUCGCCCUAGAUGCCCUGCCGCAAUUGAACUAACACUUGCUUGGAUCAGUGGCAAUCGCAGCAAUUGUGCUUUUUUCUGCAGAGGUCUGUGUUCAGCGUCAGGCCGGCAGCCACUAAUUUGGCCCCCAACCCCAACAAUCUGGAUUUUUGUGUGCUGUGAAAAUUUGAGACGUCUUCAUUUGGGUUUGUGGAUGCUAUCCAGUGGCAGAGCUAGCCUUCACGGCCAAAACCAUUAGCCCUGUCCUUUUGCGAGAGAGAACAAGCCCAAGAUUAAGGUGUGUACAGAUUGUGCUCUCAUUGUAUAGUCUUUUUUUUUUUUCCAGUGUAAGAAUGUGAGUUCAGGCUUUUACUUAGAA